rnacentral:rRNA from 1 species
UACGGAGGGUGCAAGCGUUAUCCGGAUUCACUGGGUUUAAAGGGUGCGUAGGAGGACUGGUAAGUCAGUGGUGAAAUCUCCGGGCUUAACUCGGAAACUGCCGUUGAUACUAUCAGUCUUGAAUACCGUGGAGGUGAGCGGAAUAUGUCAUGUAGCGGUGAAAUGCUUAGAUAUGACAUAGAACACCAAUUGCGAAGGCAGCUCACUACACGAAUAUUGACUCUGAGGCACGAAAGCGUGGGGAUCAAAC